UCUCCGUUGGUGAACCAGCGGAGGGAUCAUUACCGAGUUUCCAACUCCCAAACCCCAUCUGAACCUUACCAAACGUUUCUUCCGUCGUCUCCUCCGCGCGCCCGCCGCAACGCCCCAGCCCCGGAAGCAGGCGUCCGCCGCAGGCCCACACCAAACUCUUGUUUUUGUAGAAUCUUCUGAGUGACCUUUUAGGCAAAAAAAGAAGCAAAACUUUCAACAACGGAUCUCUUGGUUCUA
rnacentral:misc_RNA from 1 species